rnacentral:tRNA from 1 species
GGGGUGGUGGCGCAGUUGGCUAGCGCGUAGGUCUCAUAAUCCUGAGGUCAAGAGUUCGAGCCUCUCUGACCCCA